CUGCGUGGUGGUCGAAGCCCACUCAGCUUCUCUUCAACGGUAGUUUAGUCUCGCAUCUACCCCCCACAGAUUUGCCCCCAAAAUACGUAUCACACAAUCGGAAUGCGACGCGUGUCAUGAAACACGUGCCCAAGGCGAGACGCAUGCGAAGUCAAAUUGACGCCGUUUCCAGCAUCCCCGUUAAUGAAACAUGCGCCUAAAGGGUUUCUUCUCCAUUCACUUUGAACCGAAACCUUGAAACCCUUGGCGCCCCCAUUCUUCUCCAUCCACCCACCGGUCGAGUUCCGCCGGCCGACGACCAUACCGGCAGGAGAUCUGAACCUACCGGAAUGGGAGCCCCCUGACGCCGCUUUACACCCCCCUUCAGUGACCUACCGGUCGACGCCGACAACCAUACCAGCAGGAGGUAAAUGAUACCGAUGAAGAGACUUGGAACUCCAAUAUGAAGUCUUGCAAUUUUUUUGAAUGGGCAGUUCCUACUGUGAGAAAACCAAGGCUGUAUUUUCAGAAUGAUCAUGUUGAACUAGCAUAGCACCAAUCUCCAUAAAGAUAUAGAGAAUGAGCCUCACCAUUAGACCAUGUUACUUUUCGUUCUAGAUUAGUUGGGUAUAUGCUGACCGCAAAUUCUGUUGAUUUAUUAUGAAUUGGGUACAUGGUGAUGCACACCACCUGAAGAAUCAUACGAUCAUUUAUUUUGACAAAAGCAUUGAUCAAAAUUAUUUGGUGGAUGUAAGUUGCAUAGGAAUUGAAUAUGGGUAAUUGAGAACCAUGGAUCGGGCACAUCAAACUGGGCUUACAUGAUGUGGCAUAUCCAUGGAGCUAUUCUAUUGUUAAAGGGUCAAAAGAGYUCCGUCUCUGAAAUUGAGAUGCUAAGAAAAUCAAAAGGUUAAGACUUAAGGUAAUUUUCGUCCAUCUGAUUUGAGAAUUAUAUUUUGGAACUUUGAUGAUGGUUUAUUAUCCAUGGACUUUAUAGUGCAAGCAAAAUUGAUGCAAUGAACAUACAGCAA